CGCUGGCGGCGUGCCUAAUACAUGCAAGUCGAGCGGAUGAUGGAGGAGCUUGCUCCUCUAGAUUCAGCGGCGGACGGGUGAGUAACACGUGGGCAACCUGCCCUGUAGAUUGGGAUAACUCCGGGAAACCGGGGCUAAUACCGAAUAAUCCUUCGGACCUCAUGGUCCGAUGUUGAAAGACGGCUCCGGCUGUCACUACAGGAUGGGCCCGCGGCGCAUUAGCUAGUUGGUGAGGUAACGGCUCACCAAGGCGACGAUGCGUAGACCACCUGGGAGGGUGAUCGGCCACACUGGGACUGAGACACGGCCCAGACUCCUACGGGAGGCAGCAGUAGGGAAUCUUCCACAAUGGACGAAAGUCUGAUGGAGCAACGCCGCGUGAGUGAAGAAGGUUCUCGGAUCGUAAAACUCUGUUGUGAGGGAAGAACAAGUACCGGAGUAACUGCCGGUACCUUGACGGUACCUCAUUAGAAAGCCACGGCUAACUACGUGCCAGCAGCCGCGGUAAUACGUAGGUGGCAAGCGUUGUCCGGAAUCAUUGGGCGUAAAGCGCGCGCAGGCGGUCCCUUAAGUCUGAUGUGAAAGCCCACGGCUCAACCGUGGAGGGUCAU
rnacentral:rRNA from 1 species